CCUACGGGAGACAGCAGUGGGGAAUAUUGCACAAUGGGGGAAACCCUGAUGCAGCGACGCCGCGUGAGUGAAGAAGUAUUUCGGUACGUAAAGCUCUAUCAGCAGGGAAGAAAAUGCGGUUACCUGACUAAGAAGCCCCGGCUAACUACGUGCCAGCAGCCGCGGUAAUACGUAGGGGGCAAGCGUUAUCCGGAUUUACUGGGUGUAAAGGGAGCGUAGACGGCAGCGCAAGUCUGGAGUGAAAGCCCAUGGCUUAACCAUGGAACUGCUUUGGAAACUGUGCAGCUAGAGUGCAGGAGAGGUAAGCGGAAUUCCUAGUGUAGCGGUGAAAUGCGUAGAUAUUAGGAGGAACACCAGUGGCGAAGGCGGCUUACUGGACUGUAACUGACGUUGAGGCUCGAAAGCGUGGGGAGCAAACAGGAUUAGAUACCCGUGUAGUC
rnacentral:rRNA from 1 species